rnacentral:rRNA from 1 species
CCUACGGGUGGCAGCAGUGAGGAAUAUUGGUCAAUGGGCGCGAGCCUGAACCAGCCAAGCCGCGUGAAGGACGACUGUCCUAAGGGUUGUAAACUUCUUUUAUAAAGGAACAAAGUGAGGCACGUGAGCCUGUCUGAAUGUACUUGAUGAAUAAGGAUCGGCUAACUCCGUGCCAGCAGCCGCGGUAAUACGGAGGAUCCGAGCGUUAUCCGGAUUUAUUGGGUUUAAAGGGAGCGUAGGGGGGCUGUUAAGUCAAUUGUGAAAGUCUGGGGCUCAACCGUAAAAGUGCAGUUGAAACUGGCAGCCUUGAGUUCUGGUGAGGUAUGCGGAAUUCGUGGUGUAGCGGUGAAAUGCUUAGAUAUCACGAAGAACUCCGAUUGCGAAGGCAGCCUACUGAAC